AAUCAACGCUGGCGGCGUGGAUAAGACAUGCAAGUCGAACGGGACAAGUAGCAAUAUUUGUCUAGUGGCGAACGGGUGCGUAACACGCGGGCAAAAGGCCUGGAAGAGCGGGAUAGCCCGGGGAAAAUCGGAUGAAUACCGCAUGUAAAAACGGGGCGGAUUCGCCCUGUUUUCAAAGGUGGGGACCGCAAGGCCUGCCGCUGCCAGAUUGGCCCGCGGCCUAUCAGCUAGUUGGCGGGGUAACGGCCCACCAAGGCGACGACGGGUAGCUGGUCUGAGAGGUCGACCAGCCACACUGGAACUGAGACACGGUCCAGACACCUACGGGUGGCAGCAGUCGAGAAUCUUUCACAAUGGGGGAAACCCUGAUGGAGCGACGCCGCGUGGAGGAUGACGGUCUUCGGAUUGUAAACUCCUGUCAUGAAAGAACAAGCGGAGCGGGUGAACAGCCCGCCGAGUUGAUAGUAUUUCAAGAGGAAGGGACGGCUAACUUCGUGCCAGCAGCCGCGGUAA
rnacentral:rRNA from 1 species